AGGGCAGUGGCUACCUUGUAUUACUAAAUAAUAGCCCUCUCUUUAGGGCCCUUUAUGUACAAAUAUCUGUUUGCCUUUCAGGUUUGUAUCUCUGUUCACUUUACAGGAAGUAAGUCUUGUUUUGAGGACUUAUUAGUACUAGUCAAGAUCACUUGUUAGACAAAUACUGACAUAGGUUGGAUAUUUGUCCCCUCCAAAUCUCAUGUUGAAACGUGCUCCCAGUGUUGGAGGUGGAUCCCUCACGAAUGGCUUGGUGCCAUUCUCAUCCUCUCAGUAAUGAGUGAGUUGUCACUCUAUUAGUUACCAUGAGAUCUGGUUGUUAAAAAAAGCCUGACACCUCUUCUCGUUUCUCUUGCUUUCUGUCUCACUUUGUGAUAUACCGACUCCCCCAUUGCCCUCUGCCAUGUUUGUAAGCGUCUUGAGGCCUCAUCAGAAGCAGAUGCUGGCACCAUGCUUCUUGUACAGCCUGCAGAACGAUCCAAAGCUCCAGGAGAGCAUCUGAUUGCUGCAUCCAGGCUCCAUGCUGAGCCCAUGUUGGUGAAGGCUGGAAGAAACAAGUCUGCCCUUUUGGUCUCUACAGUUCCUCCUGAGACUCCCAAAGAAAGGAAUUCCCCUCAACAGUAAGAUUUUGGGAUUAAUAGAUGGCCAAACAUAAGACAAAGCAAAACAAAUGGCCAGUGGCCACUGUAUUUUAUCUCCAGAAUUUGUGAAACUGAUGAAUGUAUAUGAGAGUAUUUCAUGCCACUAAAGUACUCUACUAAUACCAGGAUUUACUGAAGAUGUGAUAGUUGUCUUUCCAUAUGUUUUAUCCCACAGAUAGGUUUCAUUUUUGCUCUUCCAUUUCUUGGCUUUAAUUCACCUUUUCCCAAAAGCACUUCUAGACUGGCCAUCUCAGCUUCCAGUUCUCCCUAAACUUCUUUGAUACUCUAGUCUUUC
rnacentral:lncRNA from 1 species